ACAUCACUGUCGCUUUAUACCUUCUCGUAGCAGGUACUUGCGCGUUGUUCUAUCUUCGCCAGCUGGAAAAACGUACCUGAAUCGAGCUGCAAACAUUUCCCGUAACGAUCGUCGACUAUAUAAAUUUAUUUCUUCGCCGCAUGCGUUGCGAACGUGGACGUUUGAUGUGAUUCCGACCGAGAAUCGCACUACUUGAACGCAGCGUCGUUUAUUACGCGGAACAAUUGUUUCGGUUAAUUCUAUUGCAAGUAGAAUACGCGUUACAUCCAAUAUAAAUUAAAUUUCGUAAUUGUCGCGCCAUCCCUUGUUUGAUCGAAUAAACAUAGUCGAUAAUUAUCCAUUGCGCUAACGCGUUACAUAGUACGCGCGUAGUCGUCGAUCGAAUACGCGCGGUCGAAUAAUAACGACGUUGGAACCGCCGACGCAACGCGCUUUCGACGUGAAACGCGUGAAACGUCCGCUGAGAAGUUCCACCCAUUGGACAGAUUGAAGGAGCAUAUUUUUCUGGCCUGAUCCGCGAAACGCGAUUAAUCGCACGAUUAGCUGAUCGAAACUGGUGGAAAAUAUUGGCCGAUCGAUAGCCGAAUUUCCUCGCGGAACACCGACGCCGGCGCUGCGACGCCAACCACUGGACGUUAUCGAUAACGUCGGCUUCGCAUUGGCGGCAAUAAAGCGGGAAAAUUGCAGCCGCGACGCGGAUUACGUCGAUCGAGAAAGUCAUUUCAGCACGCUUCAUCGAUCAUCUAACUGAGAGGCAGAGAUCGUCUCUCGUUUUCUUUGAAUUCUACAAAUUCAUAAUAUGCAGAAUUGUUAUAUUCUUAUUAUAUAUUUUAUAAUAUUAUUCUAUGAAGGCAGGUAUUUUUUCGCACUUUCAGAAAACGGGUAUCGUUACGCUUAUAAUUAAAUCCGCUGAUAGAAACGCCAUCUCUAAUUGCGGAUCAAUCUGUGUGUUCAUCGUCGUGGGCAAAAUUUCAGGAAAGUUAACCUCUCAGGUUCGGUUGAAUUGUACCAAUCACAUUGGAACGAAGUGUUUGAUAUCUAAAUUGUAAUUUUUCCUAAAGAUAUGAUGUAUAUGCUUGAACCUGAAUAAUUUACUUUAAUAAUUAACAAUACAAGUGCAUGUGAUAUAUUUUAAAGCACGGUACGACACAGACCCACGUCACAAUUCUCACACUCAUAACGCGACAGUGUUUUUCAAAUUGUUCUUCGUUUUCUAUUUUCAAGCGACAUUUUGAGGCUGAAGAUUCUAAAAAAUUAGAAAAAUACGGAUCGGCAUGUUAAAAAAAGGCAUGUGAUGGACGGUGAGACGUGUUGUUGGUUAAAUUAAUAACAAGACGAGUUGAUUUCGUCAAAUGUAUUUACAAGUAUAUUUAAAUGUGGAAUACGGAGCUAGGCGUAAACGUCGCUCGCUCGAUGCAAUUCGUUACAAGCAUACUCGAUACUACUCGUUAUGCUGAUUCUUUAGACUGAUUCGCUAUACCUAUUCGCUCGACUGAUAAUCUCGACGACUCAUGUCUGGAAAGCAUGGUUGUCUAUUUAUACUGGUCGCGAGUGUACCGAAAAUUUUGAACUUGACUCUGGUUGACGAUUGCACGUAGCAACAAUAUUGCUUUGUCCAGAGUUUGUUACAUUUUGUGCGUCGUACUGUGUUAAUCCUCUGUGGCAAAACAACUACAUGAGGCAUCUUCGAAUCGAAACGUCCUAUGACACAUGUGCCGCUACAGUUAUAAAAUGUUGUGAGGGCAAAAGAAGUGUGAAGCAAGACAAAUGAAGAUUCGUUGUGACAAAUCUCCUGAUGUAUCGUCGCUAUUUAUCAGAGGAGCUUAACAAUGGUUACCAGGUUGAUUCGGUGUAUACCAAAAGGCUAAAUAAACCAUGGUAUUCUAAUUCGUAAACUGAGAGCUAUAGGCUUCUCCGGAAGCAUCGCCUGGAAAGCUAGCUAUCUCUAAGGUCGUCACCUGGUUGUUAAAUUCUAUUAUCAUUCUUUUAAAUCAUUUAAGGUUAAGUUGGUAAUUCACGAGAAUCCCACUUUGGUGCUCUUCUCUUCAUUCUCCUUGUCAAUAAUAUAGUAGUGUUAUCUCGGAUUAUCUCCUUGUUAUAAAUCUCACAUCAGAGAUAAACAUAAUUUUCAAAUAACAUUUAUGUUUCAUAUUUAGAACAACAUAAAUUGUUAAAAUUGGCUACCAAACAUUGCGGCAAUUUUACAUCGUUUAAUCGCCACAAUCGCGAUGAUAUUAUUAGGAGGUUGAAUGUUCAAACUCUAUUCGAUAGGCGAAUCAUAUGCGAUACUACAUUCGUAUAUGAAAUUCUUAGAGAUUCCAUAACUUGUCCCUCGACCGUACGCUUGUGCCCGUGACGAUGAAACUGUCCUAAGUCAAGAAUGUAGUAAAAACGAGUGUACCUCUUAUUUGACAUGUUUGCAAAUAUAACGGUAGAAGUUGAAUGAUUGGAUUGAGUUGAUCAUUACGGAGUUAUAUACAGAAUUUAGCUAAGGCGACUGUAAAUAUUUCGAAACGAAAAAUAUAAUAAGGUAAAUGUAAUAACGUAAAUGUAAUCUCCAGAAGAAUGCGAAAUUACUUGCUGUUAAAGCAACAUUUACAACUGCAACCGUUUCGACUGUCGUAACUGUUUUAACAGGACGAUGAAUUUCACUGACUCUGUCCACCACAAAAUUGAUGUAUUUUAGUCGAUCUAUGGAAUCUCCAAGAUUCUCUUCAGGACGGAUUUUAUAACUUUCUUAUCUUAAUCCUUAAUUUUAGCUUCUUCUUAAUUGUUACUUGUUAUCUUUUUUUUAUUUUUAUUAUUAUUAAAGUAAUGAUAUAUAAGGUUUUAUUAAAUAACAGAAUAACUAUUUUAUAUGUAACAUAAAAAAUUGAAGUAUUAACGAACACCGCCCUAUUCUCUUAUACAUCUCAAACAGAAAUGAAUUUGGUUUAUUGCACAUUCAUUCAUUCGACACAUACGCGAUGCACUCGUCUCAUGGCGUUUUCCUUUUGUCUUCCCCUUUUUUAUUCCUCGCUCGUACAAUACAGAUGUACACACAUCUAUUUUCUAACAAUUAUUUUGCGUUUUACUAUCUUUCCUUCACUCCGUACACUGUAUCUUUUCAUUUUCGCUAAAGGGAUUUUUCUUCCCCGUGAAACUAGUAACAAAGAUAAAAUAUCGAAAGUUUUUGCGUCACGGUAACCUCUUUAUCGUUUGUUCUUAUGAUUAAAAAACUCGUAACAGGAUGAAAUUGUUGAGAAUUGUGGAUCUUAAUCGCCGAAAUAAAUGUAUAGGAAUACUUAGAUUAUACUUAGAAUUGAUAUCAAAAUAGUUUCAGAUUUAUUUAGUAUGUGAUUUUCAAGAUAUUUAUCGAUGCAUAUUUGCACGCGUCACAGCACUCUCUUUCUCUCGCCAUCUUCUAUAUCGCAUUACCAACGAAACAGUUGCAUUCGUCUGUUUUACGAGACGCUGUGUACGCACAUACUCUCACACACUCAUACUCAUAUAUGUGUGUUACUAAAUGUGGCUAAUCUAGUGUAGCACACAAAAUUACACAUAUCUCAAUAGAAAUCCUUAAUCGAUGACUUGGACAAUUGAAGUGAUUUGUUCCUAUCUCGAAAUGUCAUGCUAUAUAUUUCUCGUGGAAAAUGAAACAAUACUCGAUCAAUGAUAACUCCAUAAAUGGUACACCGCCGGAUAAACAAAAACAAAAACUUAUUUUGACGGUAUUUUUUCCUCCUCGUUAUCUUCUACAAAUUUCUAGAAAACGACACCUCAAAAUCUCUGGAUCUCGUUAAAAAACCACACAAUGAAACGUUUAGAAUGAUAUGUUUACAACGAAAUUUGUAAAAUAUACUCGUUUCUAAUCGUGUCACACCUGGAAUACGCAUUUGAAAAAUAGAAUUCAGCGCAGUCGCAUAUCAUGAAAUUGCUUGAAAGCGUGCAAUAGGAAUUUCUCACACACAUCGUUCUCAAAAUUGAUAAACCGAUAUUCAAAACUUGCUAUAAUUAUGACAAUAAUGUGAAUAUGCUCACUCCUCCAUAUUGCAUUCACACUGCGAAAACAGAUAUCACCAAACAGAGACAAAUGCAUUGGCUAACAAGUCGAAAAUCCAAAUUAAGCAUAAAAAAUAAAUUAAAAAUAUACAAAACGAUCAUAAAACCAAUUUGGACGUACGGAAUACCACUAUGGGGAACAGCAGCAAUGAGCCAUAUAAGCAAAAUAGAGACAAUGCAAGCUAAAAUUCUUAAAACAAUAGUAAAUAUCCCAUGGUACGUUAGAAACAAAGAUAUUCGGAAAGACCUGAGAAUACCAACGGUCAAGGAGGAGAUUAGCAGAUGCGCAAGAAGGACAGAGAAAGAAUAGCAACGCACCCAAACCGGCUAGCAGCGGAAACGAUCAACACAUCAAGCAUAGAAAGAAGACUAGAAAGGAAACACCCAGCAGAUCUCAUAAAGGAUAUAACCUAACAAACACGAAGAUGGUACCCCGCUGGGGGUAGGCACCCACAUGUUAUAUUAUUAUACCACUAAGCUAUAAUAUUUUACCAAAUGUCGUACUGGACAAAUUGUAAAAUUUAAAUAAAUAACUAAAAAAAAAAAAAAAAAAAU